UUCUCUGUAGAAAUGAAGUAGAAUAUUUCUACAAUCUAGAGUCUCUAAUCUAAUCAAAGCAAAGGUCUAUUUUGGAAGACAAUGAUGGGUGGCACCGUAGCAAAAGCUUUUACAUAGAGGGGUUCACAAACUGAAGAAGCCACAAUAUUGGUUGUGCUAUAUUGAUCCUGAAGUUUCUAGUGGGGAGGAGAUGAAAUUACUGAAAAGAACCGAUAGCACACAAUUAUAAAGCAAUGUCUUAUGCAAAAUUAGCUGGGCUUGAACCAAUAUAUGGACUUUGUAAGUGCAUAACCAAAUUUCAUGUAACUGAAAUUUAUGAGU